rnacentral:rRNA from 1 species
AAUGAACGCUGGCGGCGUGUCUAACACAUGCAAGUCGAACGCGAAAGUCCGCAAGGACCAGUAGAGUGGCGCACGGGUGAGUAAUACAUAAGAAUCUACCCUUUUGUGAAGAAUACCCUUGAGAAAUCAAGGUUAAUACUGCAUAAGUCGAGUAAUCGAGAAAGGUGGCCUCUAGCUACCGCAGAAGGAAGAGCUUGUGUCCUAUCAGCUAGUUGGUGGGGUAAAGGCCUACCAAGGCAAGGACGGGUAGUCGGCCUGAGAGGGUGUACGACCACAAUGGGACUGAGACACGGCCCAUACUCCUACGGGAGGCAGCAGUGGGGAAUAUUGCACAAUGGGCGAAAGCCUGAUGCAGCGACGCCGCGUGGAGGAUGAAGGUCUUCGGAUUGUAAACUCCUGUUGAGUGGGAAGAAAGACGGCUGGUUAAUACCCAGUUGGGAUGACGGUACCACUCGAGGAAGCACCGGCAAACUUCGUGCCAGCAGCCGCGGUAAUACGAAGGGUG